rnacentral:rRNA from 1 species
UACGUAGGGGGCAAGCGUUGUCCGGAUUUAUUGGGCGUAAAGAGCGUGUAGGCGGCCAGGUAGGUCUGCUGUGAAAACUCGAGGCUUAACCUCGAGAUGUCGGCGGAAACCAUCUGGCUAGAGUCCGGAAGAGGAGAGCGGAAUUCCUGGUGUAGCGGUGAAAUGCGCAGAUAUCAGGAGGAACACCAGUGGCGAAGGCGAGUCUCUGGACAUUUCCUGACGCUGAGGCACGAAAGCCAGGGGAGCAAACGGG